rnacentral:lncRNA from 1 species
AUAGCUCUCGAUCACUGGGCUCUGAUUUUCAUCAUUUCGAGAGGUUUUUUCAAGCUCUGUGGAGCUUGCUGGCUUACCUCUGUUGAGUACCCCUUCUUGGCAUACCAAAUCUGUUGCGGCCAAUCCCCCUCGUCGUCCGAUCGUCGGUAUCGUGUACCUGCAAGAAAAAUCCUCACAGACCGGAGAUGCCUCCGGUGGGGACCCUCCG